GACGAACGCUGGCGGCGUGCCUAAUACAUGCAAGUCGAGCGCAGGAAGCUGACGGAACUCUUCGGAGGGAAGGCAGUGGAAUGAGCGGCGGACGGGUGAGUAACACGUAAGGAACCUGCCUCAAGGAUUGGGAUAACUCCGAGAAAUCGGAGCUAAUACCGGAUAGUUCAACGGACCGCAUGGUCCGCUGAUGAAAGGCGCUCCGGCGUCACCUUGAGAUGGCCUUGCGGUGCAUUAGCUAGUUGGUGGGGUAACGGCCCACCAAGGCGACGAUGCAAAGUCGACCUGAGAGGGUGAUCGGCCACCCUGGGACUGAGACCAGGCCCAGACUCCUACGGGAGGCAGCAGUAGGGAAUCUUCCACAAUGGACGAAAGUCUGAUGGAGCAACGCCGCGUGAGUGAUGAAGGUUUUCGGAUCGUAAAACUCUGUUGUAAGGGAAGAACACGUACGAGAGGGAAUGCUCGUACCUUGACGGUACCUUACGAGAAAGCCACGGCUAACUACGUGCCAGCAGCCGCGGUAAGAC
rnacentral:rRNA from 1 species